GUUGAAUAGUAGAUUCUCCAUUUGUGUAAAGCUUUGUUCAAUUUUUUUUUAUCAAUCCAUAUUUUUAUUGGUGGUUGAUUUCGGUAAUUAUGGUUUUUGGGGAAUGCAAACAGCAUCGUAAAAGAAGUGGAGGAUUCCAAUAACUGUAUUUCAAAAGUAGGCUUUCUGACAUGUUUAAGAAUGUGGAUUCCUUUUGUUUGCCUCUCCUCUUUGUCUGAUAAGUUAUUACAAAACAACUUGAAUGAAACUUUAGAGAGGAGUCAUGCUAGCGAAAUAGGCAAGAAGGGAGGAGUGGUGAACAGCUGGUAACGGUUGCCAGAUAGGCGGAAGCACUACGCCUGGAAUCGCUUUGAAUGAAAGGCAUCCAAACUUAACUCAAUUCUUUUAACUAUCUUCCCCAUUUAGGUAUAAUUAAAGACACGUCUUUGUUUUUGUGUCAUACUUGGAGAGUCAUAAUAGUCUUUAUACAUGGGUUUUCCAAAAUGUUAUUUAUGUUCUGUGCCACUAUACACUGUAUUUUAAAAUUCAAAUGGAAAGCUACUUUAUUCUCUCACCACAUUUUCCGACUGUAGCCAAUAGCCAUAGGAAGUAAGAGGAGCUCCCCGUUGGUCUGAAGCUAUCUCAUUCUCGUAAUGUCAUUGCUCUCUUCUUUACAUAAAACACGGUAUAAAGCUAGGUUCUCAUCCCCGGACCUGUGGGUUAUGGACCCACCGUGCUUCCAACUCUGCUUCACAAGUUAAUGAAUUCAAGUUCUUUCAAAUUGGAUUUCAGUGUUUUGUUACUAUUAUGGAUUACUUUUUAGCGUUACCUGAAUUCAUUUCAUGGAAACCCAUUCUGAGUUGUGCACUAUAUUUUGUGUUGAAAUUCAAAACCAGUAAUAUGUGCAUGUUCACAUACUGCGCAGUCAUAAUGCCAGAGUUUUUGUUUGAACUUUCUUUCUUUGGUUCUUUGUAAGCAUUUUGGGAAAGUGACGACAUUUAGUUCAUUCAAGGGUACCCCUCCAAGUGGCUCUAUUUCAUUGUAUUCUAUCCUGAUCAAUUCCAUUGAUUUACUACCCCUUUGGUGUCAUCUGACAUAACAGAUAUGGUUUCUGAGAAAGUUUAAAUAU